CCUACGGGAGGCAGCAGUGAGGAAUAUUGGUCAAUGGGCGCGAGCCUGAACCAGCCAAGUCGCGUGAGGGAAGACGGCCCUACGGGUUGUAAACCUCUUUUGCCGGGGAGCAACGGGCGCCACGUGUGGCGCCACUGAGAGUACCCGGAGAAAAAGCAUCGGCUAACUCCGUGCCAGCAGCCGCGGUAAUACGGAGGAUGCGAGCGUUAUCCGGAUUUAUUGGGUUUAAAGGGUGCGUAGGCGGAGCGUUAAGUCAGUGGUCAAGUUGAGGGGCCCAACCCCUUCCCGCCAUUGAAACUGGGGGUCUUGAGUGGAAGAGAAGUAUGGGGAAGGCGUGGUGGAGCGGGGAAAUGAAUAGAUAGCAGGAAGAACCCCGAUGGGGAGGGCGGAAGGCGGGCUUCCGACUGACGCUGAGGCACGAAAGCGUGGGGAUCGAACAGGAUUAGAUACCCCAGUAGUC
rnacentral:rRNA from 1 species